rnacentral:rRNA from 1 species
UACAGAGGUCUCAAGCGUUGUUCGGAUUCAUUGGGCGUAAAGGGUGCGUAGGUGGCGCCGUAAGUCAGGUGUGAAAUUUCGGAGCUUAACUCCGAAACUGCAUUUGAUACUGCGGUGCUUGAGGGACUGGAGAGGAGACUGGAAUUUACGGUGUAGCGGUGAAAUGUGUAGAGAUCGGGAGGAACACCGGUGGCGAAGGCAGGUCUCUGGGCAUUAACUGACGCUGAGGAGGCGAAAGCAUGGGGAGCCGAACAGGA